UUUCUCCAUCCUAGUAAUCAAAUUUGAGCAAAAUCAAAUGGGGCUUUCUAUGAAAGUACCUUUUGUUGAUCUGAACGAGCUGGUAAUUUACAAAAUACCCUUCCUUUGUGAGGAAGGCUAAAGAAAAAAAGAAUCAGUAGCUUUUAAAGCUGGGCCUUAGUGGGACUCUAAAUGCAAUGAAAGCAGUCUGUGUUGAGAGACUGAAAUGCAUUUCAAAGCCAGGCCUGAUUCGGGGUACAAGGAAGAACAGACCUAUGUGCAUUUUGUAGGAAGAAAACUGUGAAUGGAAAAAGGAGAAGGGGAGAGAAACGGGGGAAAUCUGGAUAAUACAUUAAAGUAACCAUAAUUUUGGAGAUGCAUUCAUCUUAUUGAAAAUAUGUACGUAACCAGUGAUACCGAAGUCGGAUAUUUGCUCAAUCAGGAUGCUCAACAAUUUGAGCCUUUAAAGUUUGGAGCUGCAUGGGUUUGUGGAGAAAGUCGGCUCGUGAUAUUUCCUCAUGGUUGUGAUUCCUCUUCACUCUUUUGAAUUUGGAAGGAUGGCAUACACAUCUGAAAAAUACCACUACUUCCUUCAUUGGACUGCAAGGUAUUUCUGUUUGGAAAAGUAAUGGAGUCCAGUCAACUUCAUUGAUCGCCAAGGACUGUCAAAAUUAUAAAACUUGCUGUGGAGCUCUGACAUGCCAGAAGCCGCUAGAAAAAGAAGUUUGACAUUCAGAAACUUAUCAAGAGGUUCUACUCUUUGGAUAGAGACCAAAAUCAUACUUUGAAAAAAUGAGAAGAGAUGGAAGCCAAGGAAGGGUGUGUGGAAUCAAGUAGCAGUUCUCAAAACAGCAUAUAUCAAGACCUCAGCACAUAUCAAGACCUCAGCACAUAUCAAGACAGUGGCACAAAAGCAUCGUAGUGUUGUCAUUCACCACUAUGCAGGAGGGAAAGCCAAUUUCAUUUCAGAAUGUCCUCAAUUAAUCUGUAGAAAUUAUUAAUUUUAUUAAAUCCCAACCCUUGA
rnacentral:lncRNA from 1 species